GAUGAACGCUAGCUACAGGCUUAACACAUGCAAGUCGAGGGGCAGCAUGAAAGUAGCUUGCUACUUUUGAUGGCGACCGGCGCACGGGUGCGUAACGCGUAUCCAACUUUCCCGUUACUCUCGGAUAGCCUUCCGAAAGGGAGAUUAAUACGAGAUGGUGUUCAGUUUCCGCAUGUUGACUGAACUAAAGAUUCAUCGGUAACGGAUAGGGAUGCGUGACAUUAGAUAGUUGGAGGGGUAACGGCCCACCAAGUCGACGAUGUCUAGGGGUUCUGAGAGGAAGGUCCCCCACACUGGAACUGAGACACGGUCCAGACUCCUACGGGAGGCAGCAGUGAGGAAUAUUGGUCAAUGGGCGCAGGCCUGAACCAGCCAAGUAGCGUGAAGGAUGAAGGUUCUAUGGAUUGUAAACUUCUUUUAUACGGGAAUAACAUCACCUACGUGUAGGUGCCUGCAUGUACCGUAUGAAUAAGCAUCGGCUAACUCCGUGCCAG
rnacentral:rRNA from 1 species